rnacentral:telomerase_RNA from 1 species
ACAAUGAGAAUGGAACCCUUCUUGAGAGAAGCAUGUGUGAACUUACGUUCACACUAACCCUAGAUUUUCCACCCCUUUGCUUUGCUAUAUCUGACAGUUUUUGUAGCUAGUUUUCUGCUAGAUGUAAAGGGGGCAAGGUUUUGAUCGUAGCGAAAGAAACUAGCUUGCUUUGAAACCGUCAAAACGGGGUCGCUUUCUCAAGUGUGAAGGCCAGAAUACAGAGGUGGUAUUGCUGGUGGGGCAAGCAAGACUGCGGAAUUCGGCAGCGUGGUUGUUAAUCAUUGCAAGUCGUCAUCUGUGGUUCUUUCUUGUAUUAACUCACCCUGGCAGUCUGUACACUGUUAUUGAUACCUUUCACGCAGAGCAAACAUGGUGCUUGAUAUGCCUUCUUCCAAGCUAUGGAAUUAAGGAUGAUAUUGCACCAAACAUUU